rnacentral:rRNA from 1 species
UGGGAUUAGAUACUCUCCAGUAGUCAUGGCCGUAAACGAUGGAUACUAGAGGUUGCAGAUAUCGAUCUCUGCUGUGCUCACGCUAAAGCAAUAAGUAUACCGCCUGGGGUGUACGCACGCAAGUGUGAUACUCAAAGGAAGUGACGGGGAUCCGCAUAAACGCUGGAACAUGUGGUUUAAUUCGAAGCAACGCGAAGAACCUUACCAGGGCUUGACAUCCUGAGAACUUUCCAGAGAUGGAGUGGUGCCCUUCGGGGAACUUAGUGUACAGGUGCUGAACGGUUGUCGUCAGGUCAGAUCGUGAGAUGUUGGAGUAAGUCCUGAAACGAGCGCAACCCACGUUGUUAGUUGCCCGUAAGAGCCCGUUAUUCCAGUGCUCUGUCAGCGAGUAGGACGGUGAUAAACCGGACGAAGGUAUGGAGGACGUCAAAUCUUUAAGCCCAGUAUGUCAUGGUCUACACACGAAGUUCAAUGGCUGGGACACACGAGCAGCCUAUCAGCGAUGAUGAGCGAAUCUCUGAAACCUACUUUGCAGUUCCGAUCGUAGUCAGCAACUCGACUACAUGAAG